UCUGGUAAUAAUGGCGAGAAGGUCACACCCGUUCCCAUACCGAACACGGAAGUUAAGCUUCUCAGCGCCGAUGGUAGUUGGGACUUUGUCC
rnacentral:rRNA from 1 species